rnacentral:rRNA from 1 species
UAGGACCUACGGGGCGCAGCAGUGGGGGAUAUUGCACAAUGGGGGGAACCCUGAUGCAGCGACGCCGCGUGGGUGAAGAAGCGCCUCGGCGCGUAAAGCCCUGUCAGCAGGGAAGAAAAUGACGGUACCUGAAGAAGAAGCCCCGGCUAACUACGUGCCAGCAGCCGCGGUAAUACGUAGGGGGCAAGCGUUAUCCGGAUUUACUGGGUGUAAAGGGGGCGCAGACGGCGAUGCAAGCCAGGAGUGCAAGCCCGGGGCCCAACCCCGGGACUGCUCUUGGAACUGCGGGGCUGGCGUGCGGGAGG